AGCCACUUCUAACAGGACUUUGACCUUGAAAUUUUUUUCCAAGGUAAAAAUUUGUGGAAUUGGAAACUAGUGUUGAAGGAGGUUUGCGCUCCACGAGCGCAGUACUCUAGUUUUGUAUUUCAUCCACCUUGGAUUG